AGACCCGAAACCCGGUGAUCUAGCCAUGGGCAGGUUGAAGGUUGGGUAACACUAACUGGAGGACCGAACCGACUAAUGUUGAAAAAUUAGCGGAUGACCUGUGGCUGGGGGUGAAAGGCCAAUCAAACCGGGAGAUAGCUGGUUCUCCCCGAAAGCUAUUUAGGUAGCGCCUCGUGAAUUCAUCUCCGGGGGUAGAGCACUGUUUCGGCUAGGGGGCCAUCCCGGCUUACCAACCCGAUGCAAACUGCGAAUACCGGAGAAUGUUAUCACGGGAGACACACGGCGGGUGCUAACGUCCGUCGUGAAGAGGGAAACAACCCAGACCGCCAGCUAAGGUCCCAAAGUCAUGGUUAAGUGGGAAACGAUGUGGGAAGGCCCAGACAGCCAGGAUGUUGGCUUAGAAGCAGCCAUCAUUUAAAGAAAGCGUAAUAGCUCACUGGUCGAGUCGGCCUGCGCGGAAGAUGUAACGGGGCUAAACCAUGCACCGAAGCUGCGGCAGCGAACGUAUCACCCAAGACAACUUUACGGAGUUGACGAUUGACGGAGCGAAGCGACGUCAAAGCGUUCAUUAAAGUCGAGUUGGCUUAGGGAUACGUUCGUUGGGUAGGGGAGCGUUCUGUAAGCCUGUGAAGGUGUGUCGUGAGGCAUGCUGGAGGUAUCAGAAGUGCGAAUGCUGACAUAAGUAACGAUAAAGCGGGUGAAAAGCCCGCUCGCCGGAAGACCAAGGGUUCCUGUCCAACGUUAAUCGGGGCAGGGUGAGUCGACCCCUAAGGCGAGGCCGAAAGGCGUAGUCGAUGGGAAACGGGUUAAUAUUCCCGUACUUGGUGUUACUGCGAAGGGGGGACGGAGAAGGCUAUGUUGGCCGGGCGACGGUUGUCCCGGUUUAAGCGUGUAGGUGUGUGUUCCAGGUAAAUCCGGUUCACUUUAACACUGAGGCGUGACGACGAGGCACUACGGUGCUGAAGCAACAAAUGCCC
rnacentral:rRNA from 3 species